rnacentral:rRNA from 1 species
CCUACGGGAGGCUGCAGUGAGGAAUAUUGGUCAAUUGACGCAAGUCUGAACCAGCCAUGCCGCGUGCAGGAAGACGGCUCUAUGAGUUGUAAACUGCUUUUAUACGGGGAUAAACGCAGACACGCGUGUCUUUUUGCAUGUACCCUAUGAAUAAGGAUCGGCUAACUCCGUGCCAGCAGCCGCGGUAAUACGGAGGAUGCAAGCGUUAUCCGGAUUUAUUGGGUUUAAAGGGUGCGUAGGCGGUUGUAUAAGUCAGAGGUGAAAGUCUGAGGCUCAACCAUGGAAUUGCCGAUGAAACUGGUAGGCUAGAGAGUAGUUGAGGUAGGCGGAAUGUGUGGUGUAGCGGUGAAAUGCUUAGAGAUCAUGCAGAACACCGAUUGCGAAGGCAGCUUACCAAGCUACAACUGACAUUGAGGCACGAAAGCGUGGGGAGCAAACAGGAUUAGAUACCCGGGUAGUC